UACGGGGGGGGCAAGCGUUGUUCGGAAUUACUGGGCGUAAAGGGCUCGUAGGUGGCCAACUAAGUCAGACGUGAAAUCCCCAGGCUCAACUUGGGAACUGCGUCUGAUACUGGAUGGCUUGAAUUCGGGAGAGGGAUGCGGAAUUCCAGGUGUAGCGGUGAAAUGCGUAGAUAUCUGGAGGAACACCGGUGGCGAAGGCGGCAUCCUGGACCAAUUCUGACGCUGAGGAGCGAAAGCCAGGGGAGCAAACGGG
rnacentral:rRNA from 1 species